rnacentral:rRNA from 1 species
CCUACGGGAGGCAGCAGUGAGGAAUAUUGGUCAAUGGGCGCAAGCCUGACCCAGCGACGUCGCGUGAGGGGAGACGGUCCUAUGGAUUGUAAACCUCUUUUGUCGGGGAGCAAAAAACUCCACGCGUGGCGUUCCGAGAUUACCCGAAGAAAAAGCAUCGACUACCUCCGUGCCAGCAGCGGCGGUACUACGAAGGAUGCGAUCGUUAUCCGGAUUUAUUGGGUGAAAGGGGUACGCGGGCGUAAGAUCAAGUCAGCGGGAAAGGUGAGAGGCUCAACCUGUUCGAGCCGUUGAAACUGGUUUUCUGGAGUGUGCGAGAAGUAUGCGGAAUGCGUGGUGUAGCGGUGAAAUGCAUAGAUAUCACGAAGAACUCCGAUGGCGAAGGCAGCAGACUGGCGCUAAACUGACGCUCAGGUACGAAAGUGUGGGUAGCGAACAGGAUUAGAUACCCUUGUAGUC